rnacentral:lncRNA from 1 species
CCUAACAUUGGCAGAUACAGGGAUGGAUUAGAUGUUCAACAUCCUACUUGAUAUCCACUGUCACUCAUGAUGUUUAACCAUCUGGUGUAACUUGUAACAUAUGCAGCAUUCUAAUCAACUCCACAUGGCUAGAUUAAAGCAACAAUGGACCAUUGAAUUUCAUGCAUACCAAAUUCCUCACCUGCCAUUAGAAUUGAGAUAGAUCCUUCUAUUGAUCAUUUAACAUGGAAACUGACAAUCAUGCUUAGAAAACUGUACAAGAUGCUCCUCGAAAAUUAUAACUUAAGCUUACCACCAUGAAUAGAACCUAGCAAUCUUGCAAGAUAUAUGAGUCUGAUGCCAAUUUCACUUUGGCCAACCCAUUUUGUGACUUCUAACCUAGAGUUACUAAGUAUCCUGGAUAUGAAAAAUGGAUGGAUCUUGACCUAUUCUAUGGUCAAUGUCUAAGAAAACACAAAAUUAUAUGAAUGCACAACCAUGAAUUAUACCUUUAAAUAGUGUUCCAUGAUCAUUUUGAUGAGAAUGGCUUCUAUGGGGUUUAAUUUUGAUAGAACCUCUAAGAAAAGUAGAAUGUUCCCAUAUGAAGUUAAUAAGAAGUUGACUGGAACAUACCAACAUUUGGAAA